rnacentral:rRNA from 1 species
UACAGAGGUCUCAAGCGUUGUUCGGAUUCAUUGGGCGUAAAGGGUGCGUAGGCGGCGCGGUAAGUCGGGUGUGAAAUCUCGGAGCUUAACUCCGAAACUGCAUUCGAUACUGCCGUGCUUGAGGACUGGAGAGGAGACUGGAAUUUACGGUGUAGCGGUGAAAUGCGUAGAGAUGUGGAGGAACACCAGUGGCGAAGGCGGCUUUCUGGUCUGUAACUGACGCUGAGGCGCGAAAGCGUGGGGAGCAAACAGG